rnacentral:rRNA from 1 species
ACGAACGCUGGCGGCGUGCCUAAUACAUGCAAGUCGAACGGUCUUUCUAUGGAAGCUUGCUUCCACUGAGAAGAUAGUGGCGAACGGGUGAGUAACACGUGGGUAACCUGCCCAUAAGAGGGGGAUAACAUCCGGAAACGGGUGCUAAUACCGCAUAGUUUUCUUGAUCGCAUGAUUGAGAAAGGAAAGACGGCCUUUGUGCUGUCGCUUAUGGAUGGACCCGCGGCGUAUUAGUUAGUUGGUGAGGUAACGGCUCACCAAGACGAUGAUACGUAGCCGACCUGAGAGGGUGAUCGGCCACAUUGGGACUGAGACACGGCCCAAACUCCUACGGGAGGCAGCAGUAGGGAAUCUUCCGCAAUGGACGAAAGUCUGACGGAGCAACGCCGCGUGAGUGAAGAAGGUUUUUCCGGAUCGUAAAACUCUGUUGUCAGAGAAGAACAAGUUGGAGAGUAACUGCUCCAGCCUUGACGGUAUCUGACCAGAAAGCCACGGCUAACUACGUGCCAGCCGCAGC